GCCAAUUGAUAGAAAAGUUCUCUGGAUAGUAAAUUUUUGACAGCUAUGAGGUGAAUAAAAAUGUUUGAUACGGCAGGGCUAGUGAAAAAUUUGACAGCAAGCAUUAUCAAGAAGAAGAACGAACAACGCACGUAUACACAUAAAUUAAAGAAAACAAAAGCGAGUGGAAGUAAAAGAAAAUGGUCCCGCCGGCAAAAAAAAUAAAGAAAAGCUAUAUAACUUGUAAGAUUUAAUUUCAGAUUUACAUAUGAAAAGGCGUUAUGUAUUUUUUUAAUUAAAAAUACUAUUUUACAGGGAGCAGUUCAGAACGCAGAAUCCUUCUGGAAAGGCGAAUUGACAAGGAUGUUUGGUUCAGCUCAAAGAACGCCAACAGCAACGAAGGCUGGAACAAAUGACUUCGUACUCCACUGACCAUCCGUGGCGCUUUUUGGGAAUGUGAGUUACAAUUUUUCGAAACGAAGCAGAGGACAACCUAAGAUGCAUUUUUGUAGUCUUGUUAUCGCCGUUCAUAAUGCUGCUUAGUAUUUUGGAAUAAACGUCUUGUUGCAUGUACAUAAUACCCUAAAACGACAUAUGUUUUUAUUGCAAACAAUUGUACACGGUUUUAAAAAUUUUUGUGAACACACUUACCAGACGGUUUUGACGUGUUUUUAUUUCUAAUAUUACUGCUAAAAGGUCUAAUAAAUGCAUGGAUUUCAGUUCCAGAAGAAUUGAAAUCAUCAAAGGCAAAUAUUUUCUAUAUAA